GCAAAGAUAAAAACGCAACGCAUGCCUUUGCAUGCCAGAGCCGGUAGGUAGCCCGGCCGUCACGGAGCCUUGUGAUGCCAUCCCAUCAUGGGGCUUGCGUGGUAAGUAACCUGCCCCUCCGGGUUGUCCGUUCUUUGCCCAUU
rnacentral:ncRNA from 1 species